rnacentral:rRNA from 1 species
GACGAACGCUGGCGGCGUGCUUAACACAUGCAAGUCGAACGGAAAGGCCCCUUUGGGGGUACUCGAGUGGCGAACGGGUGAGUAACACGUGAGUAACCUGCCCUUGACUUCGGGAUAACUUCAGGAAACUGGGGCUAAUACCGGAUAGGAAUCCUUGCUGCAUGGUGGGGGUUGGAAAGCUUCGGCGGUUUUGGAUGCACUCGCGGCUUAUCAGCUUGUUGGUGGGGUAGUGGCUUACCAAGGCUUUGACGGGUAGCCGGCCUGAGAGGGCGACCGGCCACAUUGGGACUGAGAUACGGCCCAGACUCCUACGGGAGGCAGCAGUGGGGAAUAUUGCACAAUGGGCGGAAGCCUGAUGCAGCAACGCCGCGUGCGGGAUGACGGCCUUCGGGUUGUAAACCGCUUUCAGCAGGGGCGAAGCUUGUGGUGACGGUACCUGCAGAAGAAGCACCGGCUAACUACGUG